GAUCCUGGCUCAGGAUGAACGCUAGCUACAGGCUUAACACAUGCAAGUCGAGUGGGCAGCAUGGUCUUAGCUUGCUAAGGCCGAUGGCGACCGGCGCACGGGUGAGUAACACGUAUCCAACCUGCCGUCUACUCUUGGACAGCCUUCUGAAAGGAAUAUUAAUACAAGAUGGCAUCAUGAGUUCACAUGUUCACAUGAUUAAAGGUAUUCCGGUAGACGAUGGGGA
rnacentral:rRNA from 1 species